GCCGAAGUGGCGGAAUGGCAGACGCGCUAGAUUCAGGUUCUAGUGGGGCGACCUGUGGGGGUUCGAGUCCCCCCUUCGGCACCA
rnacentral:tRNA from 1 species